rnacentral:misc_RNA from 1 species
GAAAUGGGAUAAGUAAUGUGAAUUGCAGAAUUCAUUGAAUCAUCGAAUCUUUGAACGCACAUUGCGCCCGCCAGUAUUCUGGCGGGCAUGCCUGUCCGAGCGUCAUUUCAACCAUCAAGCCCCCGGGCUUGUGUUGGGGACCUGCGGCUGCCCGCAGGCCCUGAAAACCAGUGGCGGGCUCGCUGUCACACCGAGCGUAGUAGCAAUCACCUCGCUCAGGGCGUGCUGCGGGUUCCGGCCGUUAAACAGCCUUACAAAACCCAAGGUUGACCUCGGAUCAGGUAGGAAGACCCGCUGAACUUAAGC